UGGGGAAUUUUGGACAAUGGGGGAAACCCUGCUCCAGCCAUCCCGCGUGUGCGAUGAAGGCCUUCGGGUUGUAAAGCACUUCUGGCAGGAAAGAAACGUCAUGGGUUAAUACCCCGUGAAACUGACGGUACCUGCAGAAUAAGCACCGGCUAACUACGUGCCAGCAGCCGCGGUAAUACGUAGGGUGCAAGCGUUAAUCGGAAUUACUGGGCGUAAAGCGUGCGCAGGCGGUUCGGAAAGAGAGAUGUGAAAUCCCAGAGCUCAACUUUGGAACUGCAUUUUUAACUGCCGGGCUAGAGUGUGUCAGAGGGAGGUGGAAUUCCGCGUGUAGCAGUGAAAUGCGUAGAUAUGCGGAGGAACACCGGUGGCGAAGGCAGCCUCCUGGGAUAACACUGACGCUCAUGCACGAAAGCGUGGGGAGCAAACAGG
rnacentral:rRNA from 1 species